UUCUUUAAUUGUUUGAAUAAUUGUUUAAUUGCUCACAUGAAGUGAAAUUCGACAAAUAAUUUGCAAGCUGCCUAUUUCUGAAACUGUGCCUUCAGGUGAGCCAUUCUGAAACUUGGUGAACUGUGAUGUCACGAUUGGGCUAAUUUAAAUAAUACCGCCCCCUUCACCAACUUUAUCCACCCAUGACUUGGAGGUAGCAUGGUGAAAGAUCCGUCUUUUUCAAGCCACGGUCGGAAUACGCUGCCUGAAACGCUACAUCCAAGCCAAAUGACUUUAGGAAGCGGUCAAAACCUUUUACAUACUGAGGGCUGCAGUUGACCUUCUUUAGCUCUGAGCUCAGGUUGGGUUCAGGGGCCUGCAGGGGUCUUGAGGGGAGCAGGUUCCUCUCCUGCAGAAGGUUGACAGGCCUGAGGGCUUCCACCUCUAGCUCUGGGACCCCGCUAAGCCCCCCUAGUGCCGCAGAAAGCUGGGACAAGCUCGGGAAGGGCUGAACACAAACCAGAUAGUCGGGUCGCAGGGACGCCCAGACUUCCCUCUCCCUAGCCACCUUUUCUAGCUCUUUCGGGGGGUCCUGAGACGUAGGCUCUCCAGUGUGUCCUUGGUCAUCCCCGGAGCCUCCUCCCGUUGGACCGUGUCCGGAACACCUCACCGUGGAGGCGUCCAUGGGGCAUCCUAACCAGACGAACAAGCCACCUCAUCUGGCUCCUUUCAAUGCGGAGGAGAAGCGGCUCGACUCUGAGCCCCUCCCGGACGACUGAGCUUCUCAUCCUAUAAUCUCAGCCUGUUGCACAUCUUUUUAGAGCCAUCAAAUGGUCCUAACGAAGACCAUGCGACGGUACACCAGGGGGUACAUCUCCGUCGCGUGCUGGUGUCAUCUGAAGGAGGUUUGCAAAAGUCAUCUAUCCAGAAUGUGAAAUCAAACACCCACAUCUUAUCUCCCCCUGGAGGACCCCCUGCCCCUCUUCUGUUUGAUCUGAAGGGAAAGCAACACAACGUCACCUUUGACCUAAGAAGAGCGGACCCAUGGAUAUUGAUAGCCUGUCUAGCCCAUCUUGAUGUUGCGUUGGGUUUAUCUUUUUGAAAAACAGAUUUAUUGGAUGAUAAUUUAUCUCACAAAUUAUCACCAGCUUCUGAAGGCAUUGAGCAAGGCCUUCUCUGCUGGCCUAAAAACUGUCAGAAGCACUCACUUACAUUUACAACUUAAAUUCUAAUGUGUUCAUUACAAUUCCUGAAUUAUCUGUACUCUGGUGGUGAAAAAAAUUAAUCACUCCAUUUACUGUGGUGCGUUUUAGCUGGAUCAUAUCCCAGCUGACUUUGGGAAAGAGGCACGGGGCAUUGAAAUCUCAUUGUUCAAACAAUGUCUUUGUAAUUUUGACUACAUUGUAGUCUGUAAAAAACAGUGGUCUGAGGAUGGAGCCUUGU